CUUGGAAAAAAUUUGUCUUAUCACACGCAGCAAUUUGCUUUAUCCCCACAAAAAAAGAAAAGGAAACGACACAGUGGACUGCCUCAACAUUGCUCGGCAUUGUUCGGCUAGGUUAUAAGAGCAAAGAGUAUUGUGCUGCCAACAGUGAAGAGUAUUAUUAGUUCAAGGUUUUACAAAAUUACAUUGAAAAUUCUGGUUUUGUUACCAAAAGGUGGCAUGAUUAAAUGUUUUGUGUCAAUAAACACACCGCAAAGAACGUUAAAAAGGAGCGUUGACUCAGAAAUGGUUUUGGUUCAAGCGAUAGUUACCCUACAGUUCCGCAAUAGGCUCGCCCUGACAUAUCAGACGACAAUAAGCUUUCUGUUUUUUUUGUGCCUAAAACUCUGGCCGCUGUCGACGUUAGCAGAGAAACCGGCGUAGCGUAGAAAAGUGGCGAAAAAACGGUCGUGCAGAUCUUUGUAAAUCCCUCUCUUUCUGUGACUUAUAAUCUGCCUGCCCGCGGCUCUCAGGGAGACAACCUUUGAAUGGUCCUUUUGUUUUGAGCCUCUCCGUUAUGUUCAGAAAGAAACCAAACGAAAAAGAGCUGAUGCAAU